UACGUAGGUGGCGAGCGUUGUCCGGAUUUAUUGGGUUUAAAGGGUGCGUAGGCGGCUUUGUAAGUCAGUGGUGAAAUACUCCAGCUUAACUGGAGGGGUGCCAUUGAUACUGCGGAGCUUGAGUACAGAUGAGGUAGGCGGAAUUGACGGUGUAGCGGUGAAAUGCAUAGAUAUCGUCAAGACACCGAUAGCGAAGGCAGCUUACUGGGCUGUAACUGACGCUGAUGCACGAAAGUGUGGGGAUCAAACAGG
rnacentral:rRNA from 1 species